CAAUAAAUCGUAUUAUUUGAUCAAAAGACCCUCUCGAGAGGGUUUUCUCUCUUCUCUCUCUUCAAAAGCUUCUUCGCCGUCUUUAGAUUCGGAUCGAUAGCCAGAGAUCCUUGUUGAUCCGGCAUCGAUUCUGCUUUGUUUCCCGAUCCUCGGGCUUUUGGCUCGCCGUGUUGGCGCUUUGAUUUCGGUUUUUUCCGGCUUUUGUGUCUGUUUGUUUAUGAUCGUUAGUGAAAUUCUAAAGAUUUCGGGACUUUGGUGGUGUUGAAGCCAGCUUUGAUUUCUCAGUCGCGUGGUUUGGUUGCUUCCGGCGCGUGACGGCAAUGUGAAGUGACCUGAGAAUUGUAAUAGAGACGGUGGUGGUUUUCCAGGUGGUGAUGGGAAGUCGUUUUAGAUCCGGAGGUCUCGUCGGGUUUCAUAUCUGGAGGGUUCCUCGGGUUAAUUUAUUGUCAGAAUUUCCGGUGCUUUCCAUUCUCUUCACCGUCGUUUGGUGUGACUCAUGAGUUGGCAAUUUGUUGCAGAGGUAUCUACGGGUUCAAGACGAUGCAGUGGAUUCUUUCUCCAUCUCUUCUCUUGCGUGGUGGUAACCUAUCCUUUCUCUGUAGGUGGCUUGGGUGGGGCAUACGAAUGUCCGUGUGUAAGAAGUGGGGAUCCUCUUUGGCGUUCCAUCUCUCGGUUUUAAUUGUUGCUCUUUGUUCUGCUGCCUCCUCGAUGCAUUGGUUCUUUGGAGUGGUAGUGUUGGAUUAGGUUCUGUGCUCUGUUUUAGUUGAUUCUCCGUCUUCAUUUCUGCCGGUGUUGUGGUUGUGUGGGUUCAGUUUAGUUCCUUUCUCGGGCCUUCAGUCUUUUCUGGGGGCAUUCUAAUGAUUGGUUCUUUUCAAGGGCUCCAGUUUGUAGCUCAGCUCUGGCGUCUCCUUUUCCUAUGGAAGUGUUCGUCGGUUGCCUUUGAUUCAGAGUUUUCAGUGUUAGUUCUUCGGAGCUUAAGACUUUAACCCUUUGUGUCUGUUGGUUUAGGAGUUUCUUCCUCAAUUGUCUCUCUGUUUUGGGGCUUUUGGCUCCGAGGGUUCUAUGAACUCGUCGGCUUUGUCGCUUUGGAGCAUCCUAUUUGGUUGUGGAUGUUUGUUUUAUGCUUUGGACUAAGUGGAAGAAUCACUAAUGUACUGGUAACUUUGGCUUUGUUAUAAUAAAGAAGACACUCUUGUGACAAAAAAAAAAAAAA